UACAGAGGUCUCAAGCGUUGUUCGGAUUCAUUGGGCGUAAAGGGUGCGUAGGUGGCGCCGUAAGUCGGGUGUGAAAUUCGUGGCUUAACUCCGAAACUGCAUUCGAUACUGCGUGCUUGAGGACUGGAGAGGAGACUGGAAUUAUGGUGUAGCGUGAAAUGCGUAGAGAUCAUGAGGAAGACCAGUGGCGAAGGCGGGUCUCUGGGAC
rnacentral:rRNA from 1 species